rnacentral:rRNA from 1 species
ACGAACGCUGGCGGCGUGCCUAAUACAUGCAAGUCGAGCGAAUGACAAGAGCUUGCUCCUUGAUUAGCGGCGGACGGGUGAGUAACACGUGGGUAACCUACCCUAUAGACUGGGAUAACUUCGGGAAACCGGAGCUAAUACCGGAUAAUACUUUGAAACACAUGUUUUGAAGUUGAAAGAUGGUUUCGGCUAUCACUAUAGGAUGGACCCGCGGCGCAUUAGCUAGUUGGUGGGGUAAUGGCUCACCAAGGCAACGAUGCGUAGCCCGACCUGAGAGGGUGAUCGGCCACACUGGGACUGAGACACGGCCCAGACUCCUACGGGAGGCAGCAGUAGGGAAUCUUCCACAAUGGACGAAAGUCUGAUGGAACAACGCCGCCGUGAGUGAAGAAGGAUUUCGGUUCGUAAAACUCUGUUGCAAGGGAAGAACAAGUAGCGUAGUAACUGGCGCUACCUUGACGGUACCUUGUUAGAAAGCCACGGCUAACUACGUGCCAGCCGCCGC